CACCCGCGGGAAUACAGAGGGUGCGAGCGUUAAUCGGAUUUACUGGGCGUAAAGCGUGCGUAGGCGGCUUUUUAAGUCGGAUGUGAAAUCCCUGAGCUUAACUUAGGAAUUGCAUUCGAUACUGGGAAGCUAGAGUAUGGGAGAGGAUGGUAGAAUUCCAGGUGUAGCGGUGAAAUGCGUAGAGAUCUGGAGGAAUACCGAUGGCGAAGGCAGCCAUCUGGCCUAAUACUGACGCUGAGGUACGAAAGCAUGGGGAGCAAACAGGAUUAGAUACCCGAGUAGUCCCUGUCUCUUAUACACA
rnacentral:rRNA from 1 species